UGCGAGUCGCACGAGAACGGGUCUUAGCUUGCUAAGAUUGUCAGCUAAGUGGCGCACGGGUGAGUAAUAUAUAGGUAACAUGCCUUCGAGAAGGGGAUAACGUUUGGAAACGAACGCUAAUACCCUAUAUGCCUUUAAGUCUUAAGACUGCAAGGGAAAUAUUUAUAGCUCGAAGAUUGGCCUGUACAGUAUCAGCUAGUUGGUGAGGUAAUGGCUCACCAAGGCAAUGACGCUUAACUGGUUUGAGAGGAUGAUCAGUCACACUGGAACUGAGACACGGUCCAGACUCCUACGGGAGGCAGCAGUGGGGAAUAUUGCACAAUGGACGAAAGUCUGAUGCAGCAACGCCGCGUGGAGGAUGACACAUUUCGGUGCGUAAACUCCUUUUAUAUAGGAAGAUAAUGACGGUACUAUAUGAAUAAGCACCGGCUAACUCCGUGCCAGCAGCCGCGGUAAUACGGAGGGUGCAAGCGUUACUCGGAAUCACUGGGCGUAAAGAGAAUGUAGGCGGGUAGAUAAGUUUGAAGUGAAAUCCAAUGGCUCAACCAUUGAACUGCUUUGAAAACUGUUUACCUAGAAUAUGGGAGAGGUAGAUGGAAUUUCUGGUGUAGGGGUAAAAUCCGUAGAGAUCAGAGGGAAUACCGAUUGCGAAGGCGAUCUACUGGAACAUUAUUGACGCUGAGAUGCGAAAGCGUG
rnacentral:rRNA from 1 species